GACGAACGCUGGCGGCAGGCUUAACACAUGCAAGUCGAACGAGAUCUUCGGAUCUAGUGGCAGACGGGUGAGGAACACGUGGGAACAUCCCUUUCAGUUCGGAAUAACGUUGGGAAACUAACGCUAAUACCGGAUACGUCCUUCGGGAGAAAGAUUUAUCGCUGAAAGAUUGGCCCGCGUCUGAUUAGCUAGUUGGUGAGGUAAUGGCUCACCAAGGCUACGAUCAGUAGCUGAUCUGAGAGGAUGAUCAGCCACAUUGGGACUGAGACACGGCCCAAACUCCUACAGGAGGCAGCAGUGGGGAAUAUUGGACAAUGGGCGCAAGCCUGAUCCAGCCAUGCCGCGUGAGUGAUGACGGCCUUCGGGUUGUAAAGCUCUUUUGUCCGGGAAGAUAAUGACUGUACCGGAAGAAUAAGCCCCGGCAGACUUCGUGCCAGCAGCCGCCGUAA
rnacentral:rRNA from 1 species